ensembl:lncRNA
CCUAUCAGGAGUCAGGAUCAGGAAACAGGAAACAUUUAUUGCCAAAAUAUGUCAGACAUACAAGGAAUUUGUCUUGGCAGUUUUUUUUUAGGCCAGUUUUUUCCCAGAUGUCCGAUUGGACUUGGAAUUUGGCACACAAGUGCUCUUGGACAUGCUCUACAAAAAAGUCAACCAUGGUAUGGAAAUGCAAGGGGUGUGGUUAAUCUGGCAAGACACAUAAUUUACAAAUGAAUUGGCCUGCCCUCACCAAAACUAUUACAUUUCACCAACCAUUAACCCGUAGGUUCCCUAUGUGGCAAACACAGGUCUUCCUCCCCUUAUUAUAUAUCAUUAUCGUUGUAAUCAAUAAUUGUUCUGAUUAUAUUGAUUGUUGUGAAUUUUUUUUUCCACAAAUCAUUAACCCAACGGUUCCCUAUGAGGAUCACUCCUUUUGUUGUGCUGUCAAUUUUGUAGAAAGCAAGAUCGGCAAACACAGGUCUUCUUUCUUCCCUUAUCACAUAUAAUGAUCUUUGUAAUAAAUCAUUCCUUUGAAUAUUUCUUUAAUAUUUUCAUGAAUAUUAUCUGAUUCUUUUCUGAUUAUUUUUUGGAUGAUAUUUUGAAUUUUUUUUUUCACCAACCAUCAUCCCACUGGUUCCCUAUGAAGAUCACUCCAUUUGUUUUCCUGGCAAGAUAGUAGAAAGCAAGAUAUGUGGCAAACACAGGUUUCCUUCCCCCCUUAUCACAUUUGAUAAUCUUUGUAAUCAAUCAUUCCUUUGAAUAUUUCUUGAAUAUUUUCAUGAAUAUUUUCGUGAAUAUUUUUGGAUAUUUUUUUGAAUAUUUUUUGAAUAUUUUUUGAAUAUUCUUUGAAUAUUUUUUGAAUAUUUUUUGAAUAUUUUUUGAAUAUUUUUUGAAUAUUUUUUGAAUAUUCUUUGAAUAUUUUUUAUUUCACCAACCAUCAUCACACUGGUUCCCUAUGAAGAUCACUCCUUUUGUUUUCCUGGUAAUAUUGUAGAACGCAAGAUAUGUGGCAAACACAGGUUUCCUUCCCCCCUUAUCACAUAUAAUAAUCUUUGUAAUCAAUCAUUCCUUUGAAUAUUUCUUGAAUAUUUCCGUGAAUAUUUCCGUGAAUAUUUUUUGAUUAUUUUUUGAAUAUUUUUUAUUUCACCAACCAUCAUCACACUGGUUCCCUAUGAAGAUCACUCCUUUUGUUUUCCUGGCAAUAUUGUAGAACGCAAGAUAUGUAGCAAACACAGGUUUCCUUCCCCCCUUAUCACAUAUAAUAUUGUAAUCAAUCAUUCCUUUGAUUAUUUCUUGAGUAUUUUCAUGAAUAUUUUCGUGAAUAUUUCCGUGAGUUUUUUCGUGAAUAUUUCUGUAAAUAUUUUCGUGAAUAUUUUUUGAAUAUUUUUUAUUUCACCAACCAUCAUCACACGGGUUCCCUAUGAAGAUCACUCCUUUUGUUUUCCUGGCAAUAUUGUAGAACGCAAGAUAUGUGGCAAACGCAGGUUUCCUUCCCCCCUCAUCACAUUUGAUAAUCUUUGUAAUCAAUUAUUCCUUUGAAUAUUUCUUGAAUAUUUUCAUGAAUAUUUUCGUGAGUAUUUCCGUGAAUAUUUUUUGAUUAUUUUUUAUUUCACCAACCAUCAUCACACUGGUUCCCUAUGAAGAUCACUCCUUUUGUUUUCCUGGCAAUAUUGUAGAAACGCAAGAUAUGUAGCAAACACAUGUUUCUUUCCCCCCUUAUCACAUUUGAUAAUCUUUGUAAUCAAUCAUUCCUUUGUAUAUUUCUUGAAUAUUUUCAUGAAUAUUUCCGUGAAUAUUUCUGUGAAUAUUUUUUGAUUAUUUUUUGAAUAUUUUUUAUUUCACCAACCAUCAUCACACUGGUUCCCUAUGAAGAUCACUCCUUUUGUUUUCCUGGCAAUAUUGUAGAACGCAAGAUAUGUGGCAAACACAUGUUUCCUUCCCCCCUUAUCACAUUUGAUAAUCUUUGUAAUCAAUCAUUCCUUUGAAUAUUUCUUGAAUAUUUUCAUGAAUAUUUCCGUGAAUAUUUCCGUGAAUAUUUUUUUGAUUAUUUUUUGAAUAUUUUUUAUUUCACCAACCAUCAUCACACUGGUUCCCUAUGAAGAUCACUCCUUUGGUUUUCCUGGCAAUUUUGUAGAACGCAAGAUAUGCGGAAAACACAGGUUUCCUCCCCCCCUUAUCACAUUUGAUAAUCUUUGUAAUCAAUCAUUCCUUUGAAUAUUUCUUGAAUAUUUUCGUGAAUAUUUCCGUGAAUAUUUUUUGAUUAUUUUUUUGAUUAUUUUUUGAAUAUUUUUUAUUUCGCCAACCAUCAUCACACUGGUUCCCUAUGAAGAUCACUCCUUUUGUUUUCCCGGCAAUUUUGUAGAACGCAAGAUAUGUGGCAAACACAGGUUUCCUUCCCCCCUUAUCAUAUUUGAUAAUCUUGGUAAACAAUCAUUCCUUUAAAU